GGAUGUGAAGGCUAUCUGGCUGUGACAUCUUUCACCCCAUUGAUCACUAGCUUUGAUUUGGCUGAUCUGGCUGGCUAGGCGGGUGUUCCUUUCUUCCCUCACUACUUCAUGUGUGUUCCUCACAAAGCUGUGUGCUCUGUCAAAUAGGGUGACCUUCCCCAAUGAAGGAGUAUAGUUCUUCUGUCAAGGGUAUACAAGUAGCUGUGCUCCACUGCUAGAACCCCCAAACAAGCUCUCAAGGUCCAUUUAUAGGAGAACAGGGUAGUCAAAAUUCCAAGAUUCCAGACACAUCCAAAUGAGGUGCUGCAUGUGGCAGUCUGCCUUUCUUA
rnacentral:snRNA from 1 species